CCUACGGGAGGCAGCAGUAGGGAAUAUUGGGCAAUGGAGGCAACUCUGACCCAGCCAUGCCGCGUGCAGGAUGAAGGCGUUAUGCGUUGUAAACUGCUUUUAUAUAGGAAGAAAUAGACCUUGCGAGGUAAGUUGACGGUACUAUAUGAAUAAGCACCGGCUAACUCCGUGCCAGCAGCCGCGGUAAUACGGAGGGUGCAAGCGUUGUCCGGAUUUAUUGGGUUUAAAGGGUGCGUAGGCGGUUUAUUAAGUCAGUGGUGAAAGACGGUCGCUCAACGAUUGCAGUGCCAUUGAUACUGGUAGACUUGAGUGUGAUUGAGGUAGCUGGAAUGGAUAGUGUAGCGGUGAAAUGCAUAGAUAUUAUCCAGAACACCAAUUGCGUAGGCAAGUUACUAAGUCACAACCGACGCUGAGGCACGAAAGUGUGGGUAUCAAACAGGAUUAGAUACCCUGGUAGUCCACACUGUAAACGAUGAUAACUAACUGUUGGCUUUUGGGUCAGUGGUACAGAGAAAUCGUUAAGUUAUCCACCUGGGGAGUACGCCGGCAACGGUGAAACUCAAAGAGUAGUAGCGNGNGAGAGACGACGACGACGACGAGGAGGAGGAGG
rnacentral:rRNA from 1 species